rnacentral:rRNA from 1 species
GAUGAACGCCGGCUACAGGCUUAACACAUGCAAGUCGAGGGGAAACGACGGGGAAGCUUGCUUCCCCGGGCGUCGACCGGCGCACGGGUGAGUAACGCGUAUCCAACCUGCCUCUGACUGAGGGAUAACCCGUCGAAAGUCGGCCUAAUACCUCAUGGUAUCGUCUGCGGGCAUCCAACGACGAUUAAAGAUUUCAUCGGUCAGGGAUGGGGAUGCGUCUGAUUAGCUUGUUGGCGGGGUAACGGCCCACCAAGGCUACGAUCAGUAGGGGUUCUGAGAGGAAGGUCCCCCACAUUGGAACUGAGACACGGUCCAAACUCCUACGGGAGGCAGCAGUGAGGAAUAUUGGUCAAUGGGCGAGAGCCUGAACCAGCCAAGUAGCGUGCAGGAAGACGGCCCUAUGGGUUGUAAACUGCUUUUAUGCGGGGAUAAAGUGAGGGACGGGUCCCUCAUUGCAGGUACCGCAUGAAUAAGGACCGGCUAAUUCCGUG